rnacentral:rRNA from 1 species
UACGUAGGGGGCUAGCGUUGUCCGGAUUUAUUGGGCGUAAAGAGCGUGUAGGCGGCCAGGUAGGUCCGCUGUGAAAACUCGAGGCUCAACCUCGAGAUGUCGGCGGAAACCAUCUGGCUAGAGUCCGGAAGAGGAAAGUGGAAUUCCUGGUGUAGCGGUGAAAUGCGCAGAUAACAGGAGGAACACCGGUGGCGAAGGCGGUUCUCUGGGCAUUACCUGACGCUGAGGAGCGAAAGUGUGGGGAGCGAACAGG